rnacentral:rRNA from 1 species
UACGUAGGGUGCGAGCGUUGUCCGGAAUUAUUGGGCGUAAAGAGCUCGUAGGCGGUCUGUCGCGUCGAAAUGUGAAAACCCCGGGGCUCAACCCCGGGCCUGCAUUCGAUACGGGCAGACUAGAGUUCGGUAGGGGAGUCUGGAAUUCCUGGUGUAGCGGUGAAAUGCGCAGAUAUCAGGAGGAACACCGGUGGCGAAGGCGGGACUCUGGGCCGAUACUGACGCUGAGGAGCGAAAGCGUGGGGAGCGAACAGG